rnacentral:rRNA from 1 species
AUAUCAAUAAGCGGAGGAAAAGAAACCAACAGGGAUUGCCUCAGUAACGGCGAGUGAAGCGGCAACAGCUCAAAUUUGAAAUCUGACCGGGCUCCCGGUUCGAGUUGUAAUUUGGAGAGGAUGUUUCGGGCAACCGGCCACGGUUUAAAUUUCUUGGAACAGAAUGUCACAGAGGGUGAGAAUCCCGUCUUGGACCGUGGUAGGGCUCGUGUGAAACUCCUUCGACGAGUCGAGUUGUUUGGGAAUGCAGCUCUAAAUGGGUGGUAAAUUUCAUCUAAAGCUAAAUAUUGGCCAGAGACCGAUAGCGCACAAGUA